AGUGAACGCUGGCGGUAGGCCUAACACAUGCAAGUCGAACGGCAGCACAGUAAGAGCUUGCUCUUACGGGUGGCGAGUGGCGGACGGGUGAGGAAUACAUCGGAAUCUACCUUUUCGUGGGGGAUAACGUAGGGAAACUUACGCUAAUACCGCAUACGACCUACGGGUGAAAGCAGGGGAUCUUCGGACCUUGCGCGAUUGAAUGAGCCGAUGUCGGAUUAGCUAGUUGGCGGGGUAAAGGCCCACCAAGGCGACGAUCCGUAGCUGGUCUGAGAGGAUGAUCAGCCACACUGGAACUUAGACACGGUCCAGACUCCUACGGGAGGCAGCAGUGGGGAAUAUUGGACAAUGGGCGCAAGCCUGAUCCAGCCAUACCGCGUGGGUGAAGAAGGCCUUCGGGUUGUAAAGCCCUUUUGUUGGGAAAGAAAAGCAGCAGGUUAAUACCCCGCUGUUCUGACGGUACCCAAAGAAUAAGCACCGGCUAACUUCGUG
rnacentral:rRNA from 1 species